UUUGAACGCUGGCGGCAGGCCUAACACAUGCAAGUCGAGCGGAUGAAGAGAGCUUGCUCUCUGAUUCAGCGGCGGACGGGUGAGUAAUGCCUAGGAAUCUGCCUGGUAGUGGGGGACAACGUUUCGAAAGGAGCGCUAAUACCGCAUACGUCCUACGGGAGAAAGCAGGGGACCUUCGGGCCUUGCGCUAUCAGAUGAGCCUAGGUCGGAUUAGCUAGUUGGUGAGGUAAAGGCUCACCAAGGCGACGAUCCGUAACUGGUCUGAGAGGAUGAUCAGUCACACUGGAACUGAGACACGGUCCAGACUCCUACGGGAGGCAGCAGUGGGGAAUAUUGGACAAUGGGCGAAAGCCUGAUCCAGCCAUGCCGCGUGUGUGAAGAAGGUCUUCGGAUUGUAAAGCACUUUAAGUUGGGAGGAAGGGCAGUAAGCUAAUACCUUGCUGUUUUGACGUUACCGACAGAAUAAGCACCGGCUAACUUCGUGCCAGCAGCCGCGGUAAUACGAAGGGUGCAAGCGUUAAUCGGAAUUACUGGGCGUAAAGCGCGCGUAGGUGGUUCGUUAAGUUGGAUGUGAAAGCCCCGGGCUCAACCUGGGAACUGCAUCCAAAACUGGCGAGCUAGAGUAUGGCAGAGGGUGGUGGAAUUUCCUGUGUAGCGGUGAAAUGCGUAGAUAUAGGAAGGGACACCAGUGGCGAAGGCGACCACCUGGGCUAAUACUGACACUGAGGUGCGAAGCGUGGGGAGCAAACAGGAUAGAUACCCUGGUAGUCCCGCCGUAACGAUGUCCACUAGCCGUUGGG
rnacentral:rRNA from 1 species